UACGGGGGGGGUAAGCGUUGUUCGGAAUUACUGGGCGUAAAGGGCUCGUAGGCGGCCAACUAAGUCAUACGUGAAAUCCCUCAGCUUAACUGGGGAACUGCGUGUGAUACUGGAUGGCUUGGAUGUGGGAGAGGGAUGCGGAAUUCCAGGUGUAGCGGUGAAAUGCGUAGAUAUCUGGAGGAACACCGGUGGCGAAGGCGGCAUCCUGGACCAUUAUUGACGCUGAGGAGCGAAAGCCAGGGGAGCAAACG
rnacentral:rRNA from 1 species